AACCAGCACCUCAAGUGGUCAGGAUGAUUAUUGGGCCUAAAGCAUCCGUAGCCGGCUCUGUAAGUUUUCGGUUAAAUCUGUACGCUCAACGUACAGGCUGCCGGGAAUACUGCAGAGCUAGGGAGUGGGAGAGGUAGACGGUACUCGGUAGGAAGGGGUAAAAUCCUUUGAUCUAUUGAUGACCACCUGUGGCGAGGGCGGUCUACCAGAACACGUCCGACGGUGAGGGAUGAAAGCUGGGGGAGCAAACCGG
rnacentral:rRNA from 1 species